AGUGAACGCUGGCGGUAGGCCUAACACAUGCAAGUCGAACGGCAGCACAGUAAGAGCUUGCUCUUACGGGUGGCGAGUGGCGGACGGGUGAGGAAUACAUCGGAAUCUACUUUUUCGUGGGGGAUAACGUAGGGAAACUUACGCUAAUACCGCAUACGACCUACGGUUGAAAGCAUUGGAUCUUCGGACCUUGCGCGAUUGGAUGAGCCGAUGUCGGAUUAGCUAGUUGGCGGGGUAAAGGCCCACCAAGUCGACGAUCCGUAGCUGGUCUGAGAGGAUGAUAAGCCACACUGGAACUGAGACACGGUCCAGACUCCUACGGGAGGCAGCAGUGGGGAAUAUUGGACAAUGGGCGCAAGCAUGAUCCAGCCAUACCGCGUGGGUGAAGAAGGCCUUCGGGUUGUAAAGACCUUUUGUUGGGAAAGAAAAGCAGCAGGUUAAUACCCAGCUGUUCUGACGGUACCCAAAGAAUAAGCACCGGCUAACUUCGUG
rnacentral:rRNA from 1 species